UAAGCAGCUGGGGAAAUUUUCAUCAUUUAAAAUUCUAUCCAAGAACAAAACAAUCUCUUCCUUGUUUUUGUCUUUCUUUAGUUCCUUUUGCUCUCCCUCUCUUUUGAUGAAAAGAAAAAUUAAAAUCAUUGUUUCUUUAAACACUCAAAAACCCACUUGUGAACUGCUAUUUGGAUCAUCUCGAGUAUAAGUAAAUCCCCUCUUAUUCUUAUGAAGGUUGGUGCUCGGAUUUGCUGUGGUUUGUCUUGAUUUUGGUUUAAGGUAGGGGGUGUUUCCUUUCAAUUUGAUUUAGUGUUGAAAUUGUGCAUCUUGAUUUCUGAUUCUUAAAAUGAUAUCACAUCAUUUUAAAAAGCAUGUUUCUGAUGAAAUGGGUUUGCUUUGCUGAGAAAGUAUUUGAGAUAUAUAUUCCUUAUCAAUUUUAAAAACCUAAUCAAAGUGGUGUGGUUGAUACUUGCCCUAACUUAGUUCAAAAUCCAUGAUUUGGUGUUGGUUUUGAAUGGGUUUGUAAAAUUUACAAUAUACGAAGAUACUUAUUUCAUUCUUGAAGAUUAGGGAGGGUUUGAAUUUAGUUAACUUAUGAUUUUCACCAAAAUUCAAGUCCCCAAUUUGAGUUUCAAAUACAACACAUGGAAUGUUUGUGAAAAGAACCCUAGAUCUCUGAAAACGUGAUUUUGGUCAUGUUUUGUUGGGACUUUCGACAUAACUAUGCAUCUUAUUACUUUGUUUAUCAUCUUUAUGUUAUAGAGGCUUUUCUUAGCUUUUCAACAAGACCAAAUUUUCUGAAAUUUAUCACCUAAUGAAUUUUACGCGAAUUUUCGAUUAGAGACUUACGAAACUGGAAAUUUUCUGAACUUAAUGCUGCUGUCCUCUUUUGUAGAAACUUUUCAGCACAGCUACGAAAAUAUUUGUUGUUGCUUAUCAUUUUUAUUUUAAAGAGGGUUUCCACAGCUUUCCGGUGAGAUAUAAUUUGCUUAAUUUCAUUGCUUAAUGAAUUUUGUGUGAAUUUUUGAAUGGAGACUAUCGAAACUGAAAUUUCCUGAAAACAUGAUUCUUGUCCUGUCUUUUCGAGACCUUUCGACACAGCCACAAACCUUUUUACUUUGGGACUUCAUUUUUAUGUUGAAGAUAUAUUUCUCAGGUUUACAAUGAGACCAUAUUUGCUUUAUUUCAUUGCUUAAUGAAUUUUGUGUCAAUUUUUGAAGGGAGACUACCGAAACUGAAAUUUCCUGAAAACAUGAUUCAUGUCCUGUCUUGUCGAGACCUUUCGACACAGCUACAAACUUUUUUACUCUGGGACUUCAUUUUUGUGUUGAUUAAUUUCUCAGGUUUAUGAUGAGACAAGAUUUUCUUAAUUUCGUUGCUAAAUGAGUUUUAUACAAUUUUUUUGAUUAUAGAUUACCGAAAAUGCAACUUUUUGAAAAAUGUAAUUUGUAAUCUAUUUUAUCAUGACCUUUCAACACAGGUACCAACCUUGUUACUCCUAUAUUUUACUUUUAAGUUAAAAGAGUGCUUUCUCACGUUUCAAACGAUACCAAAUUUGUCGAAUUGCAUCACAUAUUGAAUUUUGUACAAAACUUUGAUUUAAGCCUGUUGAAACUGAAAGCUUUGGAAUAUCACAAAAUUAUGAUGUGGGUCUUAUGCUCUUGUUGUUUAAAUUCCUGCCAUAUUGCCUUUCUAUUCCAUGAUGUAAAAUUCCUUUUUACUAGCAUGGUAAGUAUCAACAUCCACUUUCGCUAGCAAUCUGGCUCACCUUUUAAGAACUAUCAUUGACUUUGCUCUUGGUGUUUAUGCCACUUAAAUUUGAUCAUUUGUCUAUGGGUUUUGGAUUCCCUUAUCUUUGGACAUGAAAAUGCAUACUUCUCGGUAAGUGGCGUAUGUUCUUAAUCUAUUUUUGAUUGAAAAAAUAAUUUACUGGUAAGGUUUUAAGAAUGCUGCCAACAUUACAUUUAUGUAAGCUUUUAGUUAUGGAUUUAUGGGGUUUUCAUAACUUGAUUUCUGGAGGUUUCCUUGUCGUCAACUGAUUUGAUUUGGAAACUUUUAUGUUGAAGAUAUAUUUCUCAGGUUUACAAUGAGACCAUAUUUGCUUUAUUUCAUUGCUUAAUGAAUUUUGUGUCAAUUUUUGAAUGGAGACUACCGAAACUGAAAUUUCCUGAAAACAUGAUUCAUGUCCUGUCUUAUCGAGAGCUUUCGACACAGCCACAAACUUUUUUACUUUGGGACUUCAUUUUUCUGUUGAAGAUUUAUUUCUCAGGUUUACGAUGAGACAAGAUUUUCUUAAUUUCGUUGCUAAAUGAAUUUUAUACAAUUUUUUUGAUUAUAGAUUACCGAAACUGCAACUUUUUGAAAAAUGUAAUUUGUAAUCUAUUUUAUCAUGACCUUUCAGCACAGGUACCAACCUUGUUACUCUUGUAUUUUACUUUUAAGUUAAAAGAGAGCUUUCUCAAGUUUCAAACGAUACCAAAUUUGUCGAAUUGCAUCACAUAUUGAAUUUUGUACAAAACUUUGAUUUAAGCCUGUUGAAACUGAAAACUUUGGAAUAUCACAAAAUUACGAUUUGGGUCUUAUGCUCGUGUUGUUUAAAUUUCCUGCCAUAUUGCCUUUCUAUUCCAUGAUAUAAAAUUCCUUUUUACUAGCAUGGUAAGUAUCAACAUCCACUUCGGCUAGCACUCUGGCUCACCUUUUAAGAACUAUCAUUGACUUUGCUCUUGGUGUUUAAGCCACUUAAAUUUGAUCAUUUGUCUAUGGGUUCUAGAUUCCCUUAUCUUUGGACAUGAAAAUGCAUACUUCUCGGUAAGUGGCGUGUGUUCUGAAUCUAAUUUUGAUUGCAAAAAUAAUUUUCUGGUAAGGUUUUAACAAUGCUGCCAACAUUACAUUUAUGUAAGCUUUUAGUUAUGGAUUUAUGGAAUUUUCAUAACUUGGUUUCUGGAGGUUUCCUUGAUGUCAACUGAUUUGAUUUGGAAACUAGUAAUCUUUACUAUAGGACCGUCAUGCCUUAAUUGGCACCCCAUCUACGGAUGGCAACCCGGAAGACCGUUUGUUUGAUAACAGUGGCUGGUGUCGGAUGACGUUGGCGCUGGCCUUGGAAAUAGUGGAGUAAUUUUAUCUGAAUUUAGUUGAAGGGCAGCUUACAAAUGUUUAUGGACAACUGUUUUACAUUUAAUUACGAAUUUCACAUUGUAGUUUGAUGCUUUUAGCUGUUGGUAUCUUAUUUGUUUAUCUCCUGGCAUAGAUUGUCGUUAUAUCCCUUACUGGGAUGUGGCUCACCCUGUUUUGUUUUGUUUUCCACAAAGAUAGGAUUUAUCCUGGAGUAGUAAGUUACAGGAAGCUUGCGGCAGCGAAUCUAGAGAUGCAAAGUUGGUAUUUACUUUGUUGUCUUUAUAUAUGUAUAUGUCAUGGCAUAGUAAUAGGUGGGAUUGGGAAUGUUAUGAAGCACUGUUCAGUUUGCUUGAAAGUAUUUCAGUUUCAGUUCGUAUAUAUUAUGAGUAUGUUUAUCUGUUUGGAACAUUUUAUGUCGUCGAAUUUUACUGCAUCAAGAGGUCGAGUUUUAUAUA